UGCACCGUCUAUACAAAAUAGGAAAUUGGAAUCGAGAAAUUGAAAACAAUGAAGCAAUUAACGUUGUCUGAGAGGAAACAAAUUUAAUUUCUAAGCUUCCCUGCCUUUCAUGUUAUUUUUAACGUAUCAUGGGAAACAAUCAACAGAAAGCACCUCUUCGGAAGGCUCAAUCCGUUCCGGAUACUCAGGCGCUGGAUGUGAAUACAAACUUCAACAAAGCAAACACCAAAUCAGGAACUGCAUGGCGCAUGUUUAAGGGAAAGUCAACAAAUGCGUUGGACAGCAUGGACUCUGCAGAACCUGUAGACAAACAGAAAACGCAGUCCCAGCUAGCCGUGCCUUUAGUUGAAGCACUUUUCUUGCCUGAUUUUAUCGUUAAGAGCAAGGAUACCGACUAUGAUAUUAUUGACAUCAUUGCUAAAGGGGCUUAUGGCAAUGUUGUCAAAGUCAGAAAAGAAGAUGAUAAACAAUACUAUGCAAUGAAGGUGCUUGAAAAGAAACAAAUUAUUGUAGAGAGUGCUAUACAACAGUGUAAGGAUGAGGCUGCUAUACAGUCUAUCCUAGGUGAUCACCCAUUUAUAGUCAAAUGUCACGAAUACUGGCAGUCUAGAAAUCAUCUUUAUAUAGUCCUAGAAUACAUUCCAUACGGGGACAUGUUUACUCUGUGGACAUUCCACGGCUUUUUUCCUGAGCGCCUGGUCACCAUCUAUGUAGCGGAGCUGGCGAUGGUCUUAGAUUACUUACAUAAAUCAGGAGUUAUAUACAGGGAUAUGAAGAUGGAGAAUUUACUGUUUGAUGCAGAAGGUCACAUACAGCUUACAGACUUUGGUCUUGCCAAGUGGCUGGCGCGGGGAGAAAAGACACGGACAGUGUGCGGAACUCUACAGUACAUGGCCCCAGAGGUUCUGGCUGUUUACCCGUAUGGACACACUGCAGACUGGUGGUCCCUCGGUAUCCUCAUGUACGCCAUGCUGGUUGGAAAGUAUCCACUGGACGGUGCUAAGGACCACAUCGAGAUGGCCCAGCGUGUGAUAGACUGUGACUACCUCUGUCCUGACAUCGUGUCAGACGACGCUCAGGAUGUUGUUAAUAAGCUUCUGAUGAAGAGUCCACAGAAGCGCCUGGUUGAUCUCUUCUCGUUACAAAACAUGCCACUGUUCUCACGCUUUAGCUUCACACACAUUAUUGAGAAGAGGAUCAGUCCCAGACAGGUAGUGCGGCCAGAAUUUUUCCCCAUGACUGGCACCAGUUACAGCUUUGCGCCAGGAUCCUCACACUCUAGUGACAGCUUUCAGGAUUUUGACUGUGUAUGGAACUUGCCAAAUGGCACAGACAAACCUGUGUAUGUAUGACAUGAGAGAGCAGCUAGUAACAGUUGUAAUCGGACGAAAACAUUGCAAUGACAGGCUAGACAAAGGGCAAACAUGCCCAUGAAUGUAGGGAUACAAUGCUUGAACGCAGAUCAUUGGAAUGGUACAACCAUUCAUAGAGGCAAAGAGAACCUUUUGAAAGAAGUUAAAGGCCUAUACCGCUGGCUAGCCUUGAGCGAAAAGGAAGCGGAGUGUGUAAGUCUUCACUUCCAGUACAUAGCCUCUCUACAGACAAGUCCUACGUAGUGCCUCCUAGUGGCGACACACGUCAACUGAGUACCACCCGGCCUCAGGCUGAACUACAGGAACUCAAAGGUGGUCUGUCCCCAGACCUGGCAUCCCAGGCCCACCGGUGUGUGGAAAUGCCUUCAUUCCCAUGAAUAGACCCCCAGCCAAUGGGUAAAAUGGCCCCUGUGUUCCCAGGGUUAUAAGGUUCCCUGCCUACUGGGUUAAGUAGGAAACCACUGCCUUGUGGUUUGUCGUUGGAUCGGCAAAGGCUUAGGGUGAGGUAACCCCGACAGAAAACCCAGGGAGUUGAAAUCAGAGACGUUGGGCCAUUGGCACUCCCUUAACCCAUUUAGCCCAGUGUCGUAUAUAUGCGUCCAAAUAAUAUACAGUGGAGUUCCUAGCGUCGUAUAUAUGCGUCCAAUAAUCUACAGUGUGAAUUCCUAGCGUCUUUAAUAUACGAAAACUUAGAUGUAGCUCUGAAUUCCUAAUGACUGUAAAAUACGUCUGUUCAAAUUGGCAUUUAAAGAAACAGCUAUUUAUUUGUAGUAAGUUUUUCAACCUAAGAAAAUUAUUGUAACAAAUACUUUCUUAAUUUGGAAAAUGAUUUUAACACUGUAUUAUGUGAAUUGGGAAUAAGACAUCAAUUUGGGAAUAAAUUGUGUUUUGUCAAAAGUGCAUAAUAUGCAGUUUUAUAUAUUGCAUUUUUCUAGUUUUACAAAUUAUAAUUAAAACAUAUACUUGCAUAUAUAAUAGCAUCAUUUAAAUUGAUUUUACUUAAAAAAUGGAUUUUUAAUUAAUUUUAAAAAAAAUCGUCAUGAAAUGAAACUGUGUCCAUGCCGCGCAUGGACACGGUUUAAAAAUACACUUGUAAUGAUACAAAUUCAAUCACUGUGAAUGAAAAAGUCAUGGAAAAUUUCUUAUCAAGCUUAAAUUAUAGAUAAUAUAUUACAAAAAUAUAAGUAGAUCAUGAAAUGAAUAGUUUUGUUUGAGAAAAUCACCAAAAUGAUGUCCAUUCUCAGUUUGAUGUCUUAUUCCCAAUUCACAUAAUACAGUGUUUUUUGUUUUAUCUUUUCUGGUCAAAACCCUGCAAAAAAAAAAGAUAAAAAUAAAUAAAUUAAGUAAUGGUGACUCGUGUUUUUUUUAUAGUUAUUUGUAUUCUGUUUUUGAAUUUUAUUUUAUUCUACAUUUUAAUUAAGUUUUAAUAUAAGCAUAUUAAGAUGUUCUCAUAUU